rnacentral:rRNA from 1 species
AACCCUACGGGAGGCAGCAGUGAGGAAUAUUGGUCAAUGGCCGGAAGGCUGAACCAGCCAAGCCGCGUGAAGGACGAAGGUGCCAAGCAUUGUAAACUUCUUUUGUCAAGGGACAAAAUCAGGCUCGAGAGCCUGACCGAGGGUACUUUAAGAAAAAGCAUCGGCUAACUCCGUGCCAGCAGCCGCGGUAAUACGGAGGAUGCGAGCGUUAUCCGGAUUUAUUGGGGUUAAAGGGUGCGUAGGCGGACCUUUAAGUCAGCGGUAAAAGCCCGGGGCUCAACCCCGGCGAGCCGUUGCAACUGGCG